rnacentral:tRNA from 3 species
GCGGGUGUAGCUUAAUGGUAGAGCUUCUGGUUUCCAACCAGAUGACGAGGGUUCGAUUCCCUUCACCCGCUCCA